rnacentral:misc_RNA from 1 species
UAACCACUCAAGCCUCAGCUUGGUAUUGGGGUUCGCGGUCUCGCGGCCCUUAAAACCAGUGGCGGUGCCAUCUGGCUCUAAGCGUAGUAAUUCUCUCGCUACAGGGUCUAGGUGGUUACUUGCCAAAACCCCCCUAUUUUCUAU